rnacentral:sRNA from 1 species
AUGCAAUUUGGAGUGACUGAGGAGAAGUAUUCUGAGCUGCAGUGGGACUUGGUGAGACCAUGCCGUUGGGAGAGAGAGCGAGCGAGCAGAGAGAGGGAGGGAGGGAGGGAGAGAGAUAGGGAUUUGGUGAGAUGACCGUGCCUGUUGCUUUGGUCAGAGCGUCAUUGGGGGAGGAGGACAGAGGGACUGACAGAUUGGAGAGAGAUGGGAGCUAGGGGUUUCGACUCAGUGAGAUUGUGAGGGAGAGGGGAUGUCAGAGACAGAUGAGAGGGAGCUGGGUGUGGGAAUUGCAAAGAGAGAAAGAGAACUCAGAAGAUAUUUGUUUUGUUGUGAGCUGACAAGAAAAAGGGGAGAAACGAUGACAAAGUGACAGAAUCUGAGAAUCUAAAGUAAAAAAUGAUUAGUGGGUUUUAGCUUCUGGCACUUUCUUCCCUGCUUUCUAAACCCAUUUUUCACUGCACUCCUUCAAGCUCUGGAAGUGUUCGCACAGAUUGGAGCUCAAAGGCGUCAGAUUUUAUGGAACAAAUGGUCUCAGAGAAGCAGAUUACACUGCGCGGGACCCGAUGGGCCUGGAUUUGCCCUUGAAGAUGCCGUGGUCCUGAUAGUCGGUCACUUCUGCAACAGUUCCAAACAAAGGAUUCGGUUCCCAAACUCCGACGAUUGUGUCUGUGGCAAAGAGAAUUCGGGAAGAGUGGAAGAUCCUGGAGAAGGAUU